UUUUAGCCCUGAUGGUAACGGCAUCCUUUUGCUUUUUUCUUUAGAAAGCAAAAGAUAGAGUGAACAGCAGGAAUAGCU
rnacentral:sRNA from 26 species